UUAUCUGAACCUUCGGGGAACGAUAACGGCGUCGAGCGGCGGACGGGUGAGUAAUGCCUAGGAAAUUGCCUUGAUGUGGGGGAUAACCAUUGGAAACGAUGGCUAAUACCGCAUGAUGCCUACGGGCCAAAGAGGGGGACCUUCGGGCCUCUCGCGUCAAGAUAUGCCUAGGUGGGAUUAGCUAGUUGGUGAGGUAAUGGCUCACCAAGGCGACGAUCCCUAGCUGGUCUGAGAGGAUGAUCAGCCACACUGGAACUGAGACACGGUCCAGACUCCUACGGGAGGCAGCAGUGGGGAAUAUUGCACAAUGGGCGCAAGCCUGAUGCAGCCAUGCCGCGUGUAUGAAGAAGGCCUUCGGGUUGUAAAGUACUUUCAGCAGUGAGGAAGGGGGUGUCGUUAAUAGCGGCAUYUCUUGACGUUAGCUGCAGAAGAAGCACCGGCUAACUCCGUGCCAGCAGCCGCGGUAAUACGGAGGGUGCGAGCGUUAAUCGGAAUUACUGGGCGUAAAGCGCAUGCAGGUGGUUUGUUAAGUCAGAUGUGAAAGCCCGGGGCUCAACCUCGGAACUGCAUUUGAAACUGGCAAACUAGAGUACUGUAGAGGGGGGUAGAAUUUCAGGUGUAGCGGUGAAAUGCGUAGAGAU
rnacentral:rRNA from 1 species